GCUGGAAGAAGUCUGGAAGGGAUUCAAGGAACAGCUGAUAGUUGUAGAAAGUCGGCUGGUGAGCGCUUAGGGUGGCUUCAUAGAUAACUGGGGGAACUCAUGUUGAAGGAGUUUGGGUGGCGUAGUGGGAGUUCAUCCGUCGGAGGAAUUCAGUCAGCAGUGUGGGAAUCCGACUGUUGGAGAAGUUCGGAGAGAUACCAUCUGCGGUCGAAAGCCAGAGGAGUCCUGGGAGGGUC
rnacentral:lncRNA from 1 species